rnacentral:tRNA from 1 species
GGACUCGUAGCGCAGUUGGUUAGCGCGUUGCAUUCACAUUGCAAAGGCCGAAGGUUCGAUCCCUUCCGAGUCCACCA